CCCUUAGAUGUUCUGGGCCGCACGCGCGCUACACUGAUGCAUUCAACGAGCCUAUCCUUGACCGACAGGUCCGGGUAAUCUUUGAAUCUGCAUCGUGACGGGAAUAGAUUAUUGCAAUUAUUAAUCUUCAACGAGGAAUGCCUAGUAGGCGCAAGUCAUCAGCUUGCGUCGAUUACGUCCCUGCCCUUUGUACACACCGCCCGUCGCUCCUACCGAUUGGGUGUGCUGGUGAAAUGUUCGGAUCGGCCGUUUGUCGCGGUUUCCGCGUCAUGUGGCUGAGAAGUUCAUUAAACCCUCCCACCUAGAGGAAGGAGAAGUCGUAACA
rnacentral:rRNA from 1 species